rnacentral:rRNA from 1 species
GACGAACGCUGGCGGCGUGCUUAACACAUGCAAGUCGAACGGUGAAGCUCCAGCUUGCUGGAGUGGAUCAGUGGCGAACGGGUGAGUAACACGUGAGCAACCUGCCCCUGACUCUGGAAUAAGCGCUGGAAACGGCGUCUAAUACUGGAUACGAGAAGGGUCCGCAUGGGCACUUUCUGGAAAGUUUUUCGGUUGGGGAUGGGCUCGCGGCCUAUCAGCUUGUUGGUGAGGUAAUGGCUCACCAAGGCGACGACGGGUAGCCGGCCUGAGAGGGCGACCGGUCACACUGGGACUGAGACACGGCCCAGACUCCUACGGGAGGCAGCAGUGGGGAAUAUUGCACAAUGGGCGAAAGCCUGAUGCAGCGACGCCGCGUGAGGGAUGACGGCCUUCGGGUUGUAAACCUCUUUCAGCAGGGAAGAAGCGAAAGUGACGGUACCUGCAGAAGAAGCACCGGCUAACUACGUG